ACCUGGGUGGCUGAGUGGUUUAAGCAUCUGACUUUGGCUCAGGUCCUGAUCUCAUGGUUCAUGAGUUCGAGCCCCACAUCGGGUU
rnacentral:tRNA from 1 species